rnacentral:rRNA from 1 species
AACGAACGCUGGCGGCGCGCCUAAUACAUGCAAGUCGAGCGAGAAGGUGUAGCAAUACACUUGUAAAGCGGCGAACGGGUGAGGAAUACAUGGGUAAUCUACCAUCGAGUGGGGAAUAACCAGCCGAAAGGUUGGCUAAUACCGCGUACGCUUCCGAGUCUUCGGGCUUGGAAGGAAAGCCGCACUGUGAGUGCGGCGCUCUUUGAUGAGCUCAUGUCCUAUCAGCUUGUUGGUAGGGUAACGGCCUACCAAGGCUUUGACGGGUAGCUGGUCUGAGAGGACGAUCAGCCACACUGGCACUGCGACACGGGCCAGACUCCUACGGGAGGCAGCAGUAAGGAAUAUUGCGCAAUGGGCGAAAGCCUGACGCAGCGACGCCGCGUGGGGGAUGAAGGUCUUCGGAUUGUAAACCCCUUUCGGGAGGGAAGAUGGAGCGAGCAAUCGUUCGGACGGUACCUCCAGAAGCAGCCACGGCCAACUUCGUGCCAGCAGCC